UACGACUACAUAUCAGGCAUAUCAAUAAGCGGAGGAAAAGAAACUAACAAGGAUUCCCUUAGUAACGGCGAGUGAAGCGGGAAGAGCUCAAAUUUGAAAUCUUCAAGGUUUUACCUUGACGAACUGUAGUUUAAAGAAGUGUUUUCUGUUGAAGUUUUGGUAAAAGUUCUUUGGAAUAGGACAUCAUAGAGGGUGAGAAUCCCGUAUUUGACCAUUAUUUUCAGCUGUGUGAUACACUUUCAAAGAGUCGGAUUGUUUGGGAAUGCAGUCCAAAAUGGGUGGUAAAUUUCAUCUAAAGCUAAAUAUUGGCGGAGAGACCGAUAGCGAACAAGUACCGUGAGGGAAAGAUGAAAAGAACUUUGAAAAGAGAGUUAAACAGUACGUGAAAUUGUCAAAAGGGAAGCGUUUGACACCAGUGUUGUUUUCUCGAAAAUCAAUUAAAAAGAGUUGGAUUUUGUGUUGUAUUGACCUUAACAGCUUGCUUCACUCUUUUCCAGCUUUUUUUAAUGCACUUUUCGUUUAACAAGUCAACAUCAGUUUCUUUUGUUGUAAAAGGGUCAUUGGAAGGUGGCUUUCUCUUCGGAGAAAGUGUUUAUAGCCUUUGAUCUCUGCAAUCGGAGAGACUGAGGUCUGCAGCGUAGAUCCUUCGGGGUUAGAUACAUUUGUGCUAAGCUACAGCUUUUCAUAGACAACUUGUUGACUAUGUUUAGUCUUGUGACUUACCCGCUUAUGCUAUUUUACCUACGCUUAGGAUGUUGAGCGCAUGUCUCUCUCU
rnacentral:rRNA from 1 species